rnacentral:lncRNA from 1 species
CCUCUAUCCCCCAGCCUUACGGCACAUGGCCAUCCAUCUCUUUAAAUCGCCAUGGCCAAUUUUCUGAUUUUAUAUAUUUUCAUGAAUGUUUCCAAAAUUCAUAAAUUUGCAUAAGGAUAUAUCAGACAUUUUUGCUACCACAUUAACCCACCAGCCUUCAUAACUCCAACUUAAAGUAAUAGUUAAGUGAUACCGUCUUCAUUUGUGAAAAUCUAUAAUGCAUACAGGAUGUGGUACCAUUUUGUUAUCUUGGAUACUUCAAAAUCAUAUUUUAAAGACCGAGUUGUACAUGUCAUUUGUACAAAACAUAUUCUCUGGUCAGCUUGCUUUGUGCUUGCUGUGUG